AUGGCCAGGCUCCUGGGGGCCUCCCUGUUGAUUCUAUGGCUUCAGCCAGACUGGGCAAAUAGUCAACAGAAGAAUGGAGACCGGCAGUUUAAGCAAGAUCCUCCAUCCCUGACUGUCCAAGAAGGAGGAAAUUCUAUUCUGAACUGUGACUAUCAUAAGAACAUGUUUGAGUAUUUUGUCUGGUACAAAAAGUACCCUAGUAAAGGUCCCACGUUCCUGAUAUCUAUACUUUCAACUGAGGACAAAAAUGAAGAUGGAAGAUUCACAGUUUUCCUCAACCAAAGUGCCAAACACUUGUCUCUGCACAUUGCAGCUUCCCAGCUGGAAGACUCAGCCAUGUACCUCUGUGCAGCCAGUACACAGUGCUGGGUAGGCACUCGCAACCCGUACCCAAACCUGUAG